rnacentral:lncRNA from 1 species
GUUAUAGAUGGUGGUGUAGAUGAGGCUGGGUCUAGUCAGGUUAUAGAUGGUGGUGUAGAUGAGGCUGGGUCUAGUCAGGUUAUAGAUAGUGGUGUAGAUGAGGCUGGGUCUAGUCAGGUUAUAGGUGGUGGUGUAGAUGAGGCUGGGUCUAGUCAGGUUAUAGAUGGUGGUGUAGAUGAGGCUGGGUCUAGUCAGGCUAUAGAUGGUGGUGUAGAUGAGGCUGGGUCUAGUCAGGCUAUAGAUGGUGGUGUAGAUGAGGCUGGGUCUAGUCAGGUUAUAGAUGGUGGUGUAGAUGAGGCUGGAUCUAGUCAGGUUAUAGGUGGUGGUGUAGAUGAGGCUGGGUCUAGUCAGGUUAUAGAUGGUGGUGGUGUAGAUGAGGCUGGGUCUAGUCAGGUUAUAGAUGGGGGUGGUGUAGAUGAGGCUGGGUCUAGUCAGGCUAUAGAUGGUGGUGUAGAUGAGGCUGGGUCUAGUCAGGUUAUAGAUGGUGGUGUAGAUGAGGCUGGGUCUAGUCAGGUUAUAGAUGGUGGUGGUGUAGAUGAGGCUGGGUCUAGUCAGGUUAUAGAUGGUGGUGUAGAUGAAGCUGGGUCUAGUCAGGUUAUAGAUGGUGGUGUAGAUGAGGCUGGGUCUAGUCAGGUUAUAGAUGGUGGUGUAGAUGAGGCUGGGUCUAGUCAGGUUUUAGAUGGUGGUGUAGAUGAGGCUGGGUCUAGUCAGGUUAUAGAUGGUGGUGGUGUAGAUGAGGCUGGGCCUAGUCAGGUUAUAGAUGGUGGUGGUGUAGAUGAGGCUGGGUCUAGUCAGGUUAUAGAUGGUGGUGUAGAUGAGGCUGGGUCUAGUCAGGUUAUAGAUGGUGGUGUAGAUGAGGCUGGGUCUAGUCAGGUUAUAGAUGGUGGUGUAGAUGAGGCUGGGUCUAGUCAGGUUAUAGGUGGUGGUGUAGAUGAGGCUGGGUCUAGUCAGGUUAUAGAUGGUGGUGUAGAUGAGGCUGGGUCUAGUCAGGCUAUAGAUGGUGGUG